rnacentral:rRNA from 1 species
UACGGGGGGGGCAAGCGUUGUUCGGAAUUACUGGGCGUAAAGGGCUCGUAGGCAGCCAACUAAGUCAGACGUGAAAUCCCUCGGCUUAACCGGGGAACUGCGUCUGAUACUGGAUGGCUUGAGUUUGGGAGAGGGAUGCGGAAUUCCAGGUGUAGCGGUGAAAUGCGCAGAUAUCAGGAGGAACACCGGUGGCGAAGGCGGGUCUCUGGGCCGAUACUGACGCUGAGGAGCGAAAGCGUGGGGAGCGAACAGG